rnacentral:rRNA from 1 species
UACCAGACUCCUACGGGAGGCAGCAGUGGGGAAUAUUGCACAAUGGGGGAAACCCUGACGCAGUGACGCCGCGUAUAGGACGAAGGUCUUCGGAUUGUAAACUAUUGUCGUUAGGGAAGAGAAAGGACAGUACCUAAGGAGGAAGCUCCGGCUAACUACGUGCCAGCAGCCACGGUAAUACGUAGGGAGCAAGCGUUAUCCGGAUUUAUUGGGUGUAAAGGGUGCGUAGACGGGAAAUUAAGUUAGUUGUGAAAUCCCUCGGCUCAACUGAGGAACUGCAACUAAAACUGGUUUUCUUGAGUGUUGGAGAGGAAAGCGGAAUUCCUAGUGUAGCGGUGAAAUGCGUAGAUAUUAGGAGGAACACCAGUGGCGAAGGCGACUUUCUGGACUGUACCUGACGCUGAUGCACGAAAGCGUGGGGAGCAAACAGGAUUAGAUACCCCAGUA